GACGAACGCUGGCGGCGUGCUUAACACACGCAAGUCGAGCGAUGAAGCACCUUCGGGUGUGGAUUAGCGGCGAACGGGUGAGGAACACGUGAGGAAUCUGCCUUUCACUUCGGGAUAACUCCGGGAAACCGGGGCUAAUACCGGAUAUUUUCAACUGGCGGCAUCGCCGGUUGAAGAAAGUUUUUCGGUGAAAGAUGACCUCGCGGCCUAUCAGCUUGUUGGUGAGGUAAUGGCUCACCAAGGCGACGACGGGUAGCCGGCCUGAGAGGGCGACAGGCCACACUGGGACUGAGACACGGCCCAGACUCCUACGGGAGGCAGCAGUGGGGAAUAUUGGGCAAUGGAGGAAACUCUGACCCAGCGACGCCGCGUGAGGGAUGAAGGCCUUCGGGUUGUAAACCUCUUUCAGCAGGGAAUAAGCGAAAGUGAAGGUACCUGCAGAAGAAGCACCGGCUAACUAUGUGCCAGCAGCCGCCGCAG
rnacentral:rRNA from 1 species